rnacentral:rRNA from 1 species
CAAGGCUUGACAUGGACCGGACCGGGCUGGAAACAGUCCUUCCCCUUUGGGGCCGGUUCACAGGUGGUGCAUGGUUGUCGUCAGCUCGUGUCGUGAGAUGUUGGGUUAAGUCCCGCAACGAGCGCAACCCUCGUUCCAUGUUGCCAGCGCGUAAUGGCGGGGACUCAUGGAAGACUGCCGGGGUCAACUCGGAGGAAGGUGGGGACGACGUCAAAUCAUCAUGCCCCUUAUGUCUUGGGCUUCACGCAUGCUACAAUGGCCGGUACAAAGGGUUGCGAUACUGUGAGGUGGAGCUAAUCCCAAAAAGCCGGUCUCAGUUCGGAUUGGGGUCUGCAACUCGACCCCAUGAAGUCGGAGUCGCUAGUAAUCGCAGAUCAGCAACGCUGCGGUGAAUAA